GUCUACGGCCAUACCACCCUGAACGCGCCCGAUCUCAUCUGAUCUCGGAAGCUAAGCAGGGUUGGGCCUGGUUAGUACUUGGAUGGGAGGCAAAAUAUUUUAAUUAAACUGUAGAAC
ensembl:rRNA 5S_rRNA 5S ribosomal RNA